GACGUAGGGGACGAGCGUUGUCCGGAAUUACUGGGCGUAAAGAGCUCGUAGGCGGUUUGUCGCGUCGUCUGUGAAAACUCGAGGCUCAACCUCGAGCUUGCAGGCGAUACGGGCAGACUUGAGUACUGCAGGGGAGACUGGAAUUCCUGGUGUAGCGGUGAAAUGCGCAGAUAUCAGGAGGAACACCGGUGGCGAAGGCGGGUCUCUGGGCAGUAACUGACGCUGAGGAGCGAAAGCGUGGGUAGCGAACAGG
rnacentral:rRNA from 1 species